ensembl:miRNA aca-mir-5456 aca-mir-5456
CUAGGGUCUGUAGCUGAGCGAGGCACAAUACUCAAAAUAGCAUUGUGCCUCGCUCAACUACAACUCCCACG